rnacentral:lncRNA from 1 species
CAAAAACUUACUUUUGACGUUUCCAUUCCCAUUUCCUCUCAAAGAUGAUCAAACGCCCUGCUCCAAAUCUCAAUAUCUUUCUCUCUCUCUAAAAUUCCCAGAAAGAGAAAGAAGAAAGGAGACUACGUUUUGUUAGCAUUGUGUUGUGGGGAAACGAUAAAGUGAUUUCAUUCUAAAAGCACUCACUAAAAGGUGUAAAAUGGCUGUUUUUGAGUCUGAAACUACCGCCACUACCACCACCGGCGGCGGCGGUGGCGGCAGAAACAGCAGCAAGGUCAUGCUAUGCGAUGACGAAGCGACCCUUGUCAACAAAGAGGUACCAUCUGAACAUGUCUCUCUAAAUCCAAGGUGGGUUUGGGGUUUUCACGGAUGGAGUGCAAUGUAGUACUUGGAAAACUCCUUUGCCUUGAUAUUCUGCGUGGAAUAUGGCAGACAGAAUGGAGCCAGGCAUGAUUUUAAAAUUUUAUUUGAAAAAAGAAAAAUCUCUAUAUAUAAUCCUUUUAAUUUUUUCUAACCCAUGGAAGAAAAGAAUUAUUACACGUUUUUUGGUCUAAAAUUUCAAUAUUUUUAAUGCGAAUUUAGAUUAUGUGAAGAAGCAGGUGCUAUGUCGUCAAAUAACCCUAAAUGCAGAGUGAAUUUGGUGAAAUCAAUGGGAGAAAUAGAUGCAUUUUACGUAUUUAUGUAAGCAAGGAAAUUAUAUGGUGUAUUUGAUGAUGUACUGCUUUGUCCCAAUUUUCAAUUGAUAAUAUAAGUUCAUAGUUGAUUAUUUCAUUUUGCCAU